UUCGAUUUCAAUGGUUGAACCAUUAUUCUUCUCCGCCGUCCGGAUGUAGGCUCUAACUCUAGGGUUUUGAUUCAUCUUCUUCCUCAGACCCUGAUUUUAAUCAGUUUCACCUUUCGUCUUCUUAAAGGCCUCCUUGAUUCAAUCAUACACGAUCUACAUUAAUUGUCUGCUUCUCUCUUGCAAGACAGUGGAAAUCUCAGUAUAAAAAGGAAGGACCAAGAAAAACAAAGCAACGACAAUUAACCAAAUUUGGAUAAGCACUGCAAAUGGAUCAAGAAGAAACAGAGGCACUCCAGAACCGCAUGAAACUAUAUGUACCUUUCUUACGGGUUUUGAUUGUUGAGUUCGUCGCGUUGGAGCAUCUCAGAAUCGCAGAUCGUUGUUUGAUUAUAUCUACUGCUGUCAGGCCGCGAGUAUGUGGAGCUUGCAGUGUCAUGACACUUAGCUUCCCACUUUUUCACACUUAGUUUCAAAAAGAAAAAAAAAGAUUGUGUUUAGCGGUUCAAAUGUAGUCUUGACUUCUCGGAUGAGUUGAUAAGGAAGAUGGAGCUUAGAAGCCUCCGUAGUUACUGAGCAUGCUGUUAGUAGAUGGCCAUAUUGUUGGGGAAUUGUCCCGAGUGUAUGCACUGCAUUGAUUUUAUAUAUGUUAGAUUUUUAUAGGAACAUGCUCAUUAGCAUGAAAAUAAUGAGAAGGGGACAAAUAUAAAUUCAAGUGUAAAUUCCGGUAUAAAACAUAUUAUAUUAUCUCCACUGAAGAAAUAAAAUAAUAUCAUAUU